AUGGACUCUCCACCUCCGUUCAUCUACUGCCCCCCAGCCGGCGACGCCGACGACGCCGGCGAGAAGGCCCUCAUCAAGGCGGCCAUCGACGGCAACCUCGGCCGCCUCAAAGGUAUUGUAGAGCGGCUCACCAAAGGAAAUGGCGACCGGUCGGCGAUUUUUUCUUUCAACAACGAUGGACUCUCUGUGUUGCAUAUCGCGGCAAGCUUUGGCCAUCUGGAUAUUUGCAAGUAUUUGGUGGAGGAGCUCAAGGGAGAUGUAAAUGCUCCUGGACAUGGAGUAGCUCUAGGUGCGACUCCAUUUAUGGUGUCUGCUCAGUCUGGUGAUGUUGCUGCCGUCAAGUAUUUUCUUGAUCGUGGCGGUGAUGUAAUGAAAGCAGAUGACAAAGGACAAACAGUUCUCCACCAUGCUGUGGCUGCAGGAUGCUGCAAGGUAACAGAGUUCCUCCUUUCAAAAGGAGUGCCGGUCGACAUAGACUACGGCCGUGGAACACCAGCCUUUCUGGCUGCUGUAAAUGAGCAGGAUAAGACAUUGAAGAUUUUGUUGGACCACCAUGCAAACCCUAAUGUCAUUGUCAACGGUAUGGGAAAUCCUCUGUGUAUGGCUCUUGUUUACCGUUCAUUGAAGUGCAUGAAGCUACUCAUUAAGGCUGGUGCGGAUGUUAAUUGCAAGGGUUGUGCUAUGACUCCUUUGGUGUUUGCUACGGGACGAGGAGGUUAUACGAACUACAUUCAGUUCCUAUUGAAGGCUGGAGCAGAUCCUAAUAUUCCAGAUGAUUUAGGUAGGUUGCCAAUAGAGUUUGCUGCGGUGCGUGAUUGCAAGGAAGAGGUUGAAAUGUUGUUUCCUUUGACUAACCCAAUUCCAAAUGUCCGAAACUGGAGUAUUGAGGGAGUAAUUUCUUAUGCAAAAAUUCAAGAUAAAAAGCCGAUGGAGCAAAAGCACGUUGAAAAAAGAAAGGCUUUCUUAAAGUUACAGGCUAAUACGGCAUUCAAGCAGAAGGAGUAUAAGUUGGCAUCACAGUUGUAUGGUUUGGCAAUAGAUCAUGCAGAGAGUGCAGCACUGUAUGCAAACAGGAGUGUUUGUAAACUGCUCAUGGGUGAUGGUGAAGGUGCUUUGUCGGAUGCUCUCAGGUGCAGAAUGCUGCGACCUGAUUGGGCCAAAGCUUGCUACCGUCAAGCUACAGCUCACAUGCUACUCAAGGAGUAUAAACAAGCCUGUAAUGCUCUCUUGGAUGCACAAAAGCUGGAUCCUGGGAAUGCUGAAAUUGAGCGUGAACUACGGAAGGCUAGGGAACUCAUGAAGAAUCCUCCUGCUGAAGGCGAGCAGUGA
rnacentral:rRNA from 1 species